CACCUGUGUGGUUAACUGGUCAAGAAUGACGUCGAAUUACAGUUAAAAGGAGUUCAGUGAGAGGAGGUUUUGAGAGUAACACUCCACAGGCCUGUCAUGCUUUCCUACCAUCUCACACUCCUCCAUCUCUGCAUCUCCCGCUGUCUUCUAAUAAAGCCUAUGGCCUAUGGCCGAUUUCUCCAAAACUCAGCAACUCACACCGCAACAAUCAAGACUGAUAAAUACAGG